rnacentral:rRNA from 1 species
UGGGGAAUAUUGGGCAAUGGGGGAAACCCUGACCCAGCAACGCCGCGUGAGGGAAGAAGGUUUUCGGAUUGUAAACCUCUGUCGCAGGGGACGAAAAAAAUGACGGUACCCUGUGAGGAAGCCCCGGCUAACUACGUGCCAGCAGCCGCGGUAAUACGUAGGGGGCGAGCGUUGUCCGGAAUUACUGGGCGUAAAGGGUGCGUAGGCGGCCAUGCAAGUCAGAUGUGAAAGACUCCGGCUUAACCGGGGGCGUGCAUAUGAAACUGCGUGGCUUGAGUGCGGGAGAGGCAAGCGGAAUUCCUAGUGUAGCGGUGAAAUGCAUAGAUAUUAGGAGGAACACCAGUGGCGAAGGCGGCUUGCUGGACCGCAACUGACGCUGAAGCACGAAAGCGUGGGGAGCAAACAGG